rnacentral:lncRNA from 1 species
ACGUUGUCUCCUAGCAGCCAUGUCUUCAGCAUGGCUUCUUUUCAAGUCAGCUAGGGCUUCAUUAUCAUUGAUGGCCCCAUUAAAUAAGGCCUACUUUCCAUGUGGCCGACCACAACUGCAUUGAUAGAGAGCUCUAUUAUCUAUUGGAGAGUGUAGCCAAUCAAAAUCUGGCCCAUUUAAUUCGAUGGCCUUUCCUUUGUAUUUUUCC